rnacentral:rRNA from 1 species
UACGGGGGGGGGCAAGCGUUGUUCGGAAUUACUGGGCGUAAAGGGCUCGUAGGCGGCCAACUAAGUCAGACGUGAAAUCCCCAGGCUCAACCUGGGAACUGCGUCUGAUACUGAUUGGCUUGAAUCCGGGAGAGGGAUGCAGAAUUCCAGGUGUAGCGGUGAAAUGCGUAGAUAUCUGGAGGAAUACCGGUGGCGAAGGCGGCAUCCUGGACCGGCAUUGACGCUGAGGAGCGAAAGCCAGGGAGCAAACGGG